UCAGAUGGGAGGGAAGAUGGCAGACUGUGGUGUGCUACAACCUAUGACUACAAAGCAGAUGAAAAGUGGGGCUUUUGUGAAACCGAAGAAGAGGCUGCUAAGAGACGGCAGAUGCAGGAAGCAGAAAUGAUGUAUCAAACUGGAAUGAAAAUCCUUAAUGGAAGCAAUAAGAAAAGCCAAAAAAGAGAAGCAUAUCGGUAUCUCCAAAAGGCAGCAAGCAUGAACCAUACCAAAGCCCUGGAGAGAGUGUCAUAUGCUCUUUUAUUUGGUGAUUACUUGCCACAGAAUAUCCAGGCAGCGAGAGAGAUGUUUGAGAAGCUGACUGAGGAAGGCUCUCCCAAGGGACAGACUGCUCUUGGCUUUCUGUAUGCCUCUGGACUUGGUGUUAAUUCAAGUCAGGCAAAGGCUCUUGUAUAUUAUACAUUUGGAGCUCUUGGGGGCAAUCUAAUAGCCCACAUGGUUUUGGGUUACAGAUACUGGGCUGGCAUCGGCGUCCUCCAGAGUUGUGAAUCUGCCCUGACUCACUAUCGUCUUGUUGCCAAUCAUGGUAUCUAUGUUUCCUCUUUUACCUUUUAGGAAAAAAAAAUAAAUGGAAUUAACUU
rnacentral:sRNA from 1 species